GAUCAUGGCUCAGGAUGAACGCUGGCGGCGUGCUUAACACAUGCGAGUCGAACGAAGCACCUUAUUCUGAUUUCUUCGGAAUGAAAAAUUUGGUGACUGAGUGGCGGACGGGUGAGUAACGCGUGGGUAACCUGCCUCAUACAGGGGGAUAACAGUUAGAAAUGACUGCUAAUACCGCAUAAGACCACAGAGCCGCAUGGCUCAGUGGGAAAAACUCCGGUGGUAUGAGAUGGACCCG
rnacentral:rRNA from 1 species